CUUGGAAGCAGCCAUUCAUUUAAAGAGUGCGUAACAGCUCACUAGUCGAGGAGUUCUGCGUGGAUAAUAAUCGGGCAUAAGCCGUUUACCGAAGCUAUGGAAUUUUAGAGAUUGGUAGGGGAGCAUUCCAUCGGCCGUAGAAGGAUUACCUUGAGGUAUUCUGGAGGACAUGGAAAAGCAAAUGUAGGUAUAAGUAACGAUAAAGAGGGCGAGAAACCCUCUCGCCGAAAGACCAAGGGUUCCUGAUCAACGCUAAUCGGAUCAGGGUAAGUCGGGCCCUAAGGCAAAGCCGAACGGCGCAGCCGAUGGCAGAAACGGUUAAUAUUCCGUUACUAUGAUACGGAGUGACGAGGAGACGGAGAAGUGACACUCUCGCCUGCUGACGGAAUAGCAGGUUGAACGGUGUAGAUAAUGGGCCGGUAGGCAAAUCCGCCGGCACAGUCGAACCGGAAAGUACUGAGCGCCUUCGGGCAAUCAGAAAGCAGAGGUAACCAGGCUCCCAAGAAAAUCCCCUAAACGCAUGCGUAUCAUACCCGUACCCGAAACGGACACACGUGGUUGAGUAGAAUAUACUAAGGCGCUCGAGCGACUCACGGUUAAGGAACUAGGCAAAUUGACCCUGUAACUUCGGGAAAAAGGGUCCCUCCUGUAAGGGAGGGCGCAGAGAAUAGGUCCAGGCAACUGUUUAACAAAAACACAGGGCUGUGCAAAAUUGAAAGAUCACGUAUACAGCCUGACACCUGCCCGGUGCUGGAAGGUUAAGAGGAGAUGUCAUCGCAAGAGAAGCAUUGAAUUGAAGCCCCAGUAAACGGCGGCCGUAACUAUAACGGUCCUAAGGUAGCGAAAUUCCUUGUCGGGUAAGUUCCGACCUGCACGAAUGGUGUAAUGAUCUGGACACUGUCUCAACCGUGAACUCGGUGAAAUUGUAGUAUCGGUGAAGAUGCCGAUUACCCGCAACGGGACGGAAAGACCCCGUGAACCUUUACUGCAACUUAACAUUGAAUUUGGGUAAUCGAUGUGUAGGAUAGUCCGGAGACGAAGAAGCAGGUACGCCAGUAUUUGCGGAGUCGCCCUUGAAAUACGGACCUUUGGUUAUUUGAGUUCUAACCCGGUUGAACCGGGGACACUGUUUGGUGGGUAGUUUGACUGGGGUGGUCGCCUCCAAAAGGGUAACGGAGGCUUCUAAAGGUGCCCUCAGGCCGAUUGGUAACCGGCCGAAGAGUGUAAUGGCAUAAGGGCGCUUGACUGAGAGACCGACAAGUCGAUCAGGUAGGAAACUAGAGCAUAGUGAUCCGGUGGUUCCGCAUGGAAGGGCCAUCGCUCAAAGGAUAAAAGGUACUCCGGGGAUAACAGGCUGAUCGCUCCCAAGAGCUCAUAUCGACGGAGCGGUUUGGCACCUCGAUGUCGGCUCGUCACAUCCUGGGGCUGGAGAAGGUCCCAAGGGUUGGGCUGUUCGCCCAUUAAAGUGGCACGCGAGCUGGGUUCAGAACGUCGUGAGACAGUUCGGUCCCUAUCUGUUGUGGGCGCAGGAAAUUUGAGGAGAUCUGACACUAGUACGAGAGGACCGUGUUGGACAGACCGCUGGUUUAUCAGUUGUUCCGCCAGGGGCAUAGCUGAGUAUCUAAGUCUGGGAAGGAUAAGUGCUGAAAGCAUCUAAGUACGAAGCCAGCUUCAAGAUAAGAUUUCCCUAGAGGGUCGUUGUAGACGACGACGUAGAUAGGUUGCAGAUGUAAAGGCGGUAACGUCAAAGUCGAGCAAAACUAAUCACCCGAGACUUUCUCC
rnacentral:rRNA from 1 species